CAAUCAUACCUCCUUAUGGUGCCCAGAACCAGAACUUUUUGGGUCUGGCUUCUAUAAGUAAGUGACUUACCAACUAACAAUACUACAAAGGGGCAGUCUCCUGUCUGCUUACAAUUCCUAUUAGUUUCAGUGCCAAAGCAGUCACCAUUUCUUACCUGCAGAUCACGGUAUGCAUCAUUGAGUUCCCAAAGCCAACAUGGUGGUGGAUAGCCAUGUGGAAGUGGUGCAUGUUUGGAAUUGCCUAUUUUCUGCCAGCCUGUGUUCUAAUCACCUGCUGUUCUCUUCUAGUUUGGAAACUAAAAACUGCCAAUCGCAGAGUAUUAUUUACGCGGUUACCUAUAGGUUAUGUCACAAAACGUGUUGUCUCCUUUGCUUGUGCCUUUCUUAUUUGCUGGACUCCACUUUAUCUACUUUUGUUUCUAGAUUUAACUCUGCACUUUACUCCAGAUUACUAUUUAGAGAUAAUAAGGAGACUGUUUUUAGUUCUUGCUACCUCCAAUAGCUGCAUUAAUCCUGUUCUGUAUGCAUUUGUUGACAAACACUUUCAGCAACAUUGUAAGACGUUGUUUUCCUGUGUUUUUGAGUAGCAGUCCACUUAUAGAAUCGCAAAGUUUGCUUUUAAUAAAAAUCAAAACUAUUAUGGAGAUUGAGAUAUAAUUCACAACCCCUACUAAAGGAGAAAUAAUGCAUUAAAAUUACCUUGGUCUUCUUAUUGAACUUACUGAGUUUAAACAAUGAAAAGAGCAUUUGAUUGUAAUAUGUGUAAAUGAAAGAACUAUUUAAAUGAAUUGCUUGGGUACAACAUAAUUGGAUUGUUUGCCCAUGUUCAGUGAAUUAGCUUUGAAACAGAUAAUUUUAGGAAUUUCUCAUUGACAGCUUGAUGAAGACUUGAAUUUUGCAGUUAAAUUGUUUGAUGUUAUCAUGUUUAAAAUGUUUUAAUAUCAAAUACAGCAAACAUCCUUAUUGCUAGAACAGUGGUAAGAAACCAUUUUUGUGAU